AGGGUGUUAACUUAAGUUUAAAGUGUUAGAUUUUUAAUCUAAAAAUGUUGUUCACAUCUUG
rfam:Angiostrongylus cantonensis strain Taiwan genome assembly, scaffold: ACAC_contig0003395